GGGGGUAUAGCUCAAUGGUAGAGCAUUCGACGUACAUCGAGAGGUCCCCGGUUCAAACCCAGAUGCUCCCU
rnacentral:tRNA from 1 species